UACGUAGGUGGCAAGCGUUAUCCGGAUUUACUGGGUGUAAAGGGCGUGUAGGCGGGACUGCAAGUCAGAUGUGAAAACCAUGGGCUCAACCUGUGGCCUGCAUUUGAAACUGUAGUUCUUGAGUACUGGAGAGGCAGACGGAAUUCCUAGUGUAGCGGUGAAAUGCGUAGAUAUUAGGAAGAACACCGGUGGCGAAGGCGACUUUCUGGACUGUAACUGACGUUGAGGCACGAAAGUGUGGGGAGCAAACAGG
rnacentral:rRNA from 1 species